GGGCACCGCCUUCGCAGCCGGGAGAGAAGCGUUGACUGUGUGGGGAAGGCUGGCUCGGGUCGCGGCCGCGGCGAGUUACAUCCUUUUCCAAUCUGUCCGCGUCCGCCGCCACCCGUGACGGAGCCAGGAUGUUCGGGAUGCUGAGCAGCAGCUUUGAGGAUGAUCCCUUCUUCUCUGAUUCUUUUAUUGCACACCGAGAAAGUAUGCGACAGAUGAUGAGAAGUUUUUCUGAACCUUUUGGAAGAGAUUUGCUCAGCAUCUCUGAUGGCAGAGGAAGAGCUCAUAAUCACAUGAGACAUGAUGAUGGUGAAAAUUCUUUGGCUCGUACAGAUGUCAACCCUUUUCAGGCAAUGGACCGAAUGAUGUUAAAUAUGCGAAACAGUAUGCAGGAAUUACAAAGAAACUUUGGUCACCUUUCAGUGGAUCCAAAUGGACAUUCAUUUAGUUCUUCCUCAAUUAUGACUUAUUCCAAAGUAGGAGAUGAACCACCAAAGGUUUUCCAGGCCUCAACUCAAACCCGUAGGGCUCCAGGAGGAAUAAAGGAAACUAGGAGAGCAUUGAGAGAUUCUGACAGUGGACUAGAAAAAAUGGCUGUUGGUCAUCAUCUUCAUGACAGAGCUCAUGUCAUUAAAAAGUCAAAGAACAACAAAACUGGAGACGAAGAGGUCAAUCAAGAGUUCAUCAAUAUGAAUGAAAGUGAUGCUCACGCUUUUGAUGAUGAAUGGCAGAAUGAGAUUUUGAAGUACAGACCAGCGGGACAGUGGCGCCAUGUGGAAAACCCUAAGAUGCGAAGUGUUGGUCAUGAGAAUUCAGGCUCCCGAGAACUUAAAAGAAGGCCAUAAGAGAGUGGAGGAUUGCUGCAGAAGGUGGAGGGCUUCACAGAACCAGCGAUGGACAAGGAGAAACCUCAUCAAAGUCCAGCCAUUGAACAUGGAAGAAGAUCAAAUGUUUUUGUGGACAAACUCAACAUCAAAGGAUCACCUGUGAAAAUCAACAAAAAAUAAAUAGGCUUGCAGUUGA